rnacentral:rRNA from 1 species
GUCGAGCGAUGAAGCCCUUCGGGGUGAAUUAGCGGCGGACGGGUGAGUAACACGUGGGUAACCUGCCUUAUAGAGGGGAAUAGCCUUCCGAAAGGAAGAUUAAUACCGCAUAACAUGUUUUUAUCGCAUGGUAGAAACAUCAAAGGAGCAAUCCGCUAUAAGAUGGACCCGCGGCGCAUUAGCUAGUUGGUGAGGUAACGGCCCACCAAGGCGACGAUGCGUAGCCGACCUGAGAGGGUGAUCGGCCACAUUGGAACUGAGACACGGUCCAGACUCCUACGGGAGGCAGCAGUGGGGAAUAUUGCGCAAUGGGGGAAACC